CCCCCCGAGAGCUGUUGCUUCCCACAAGGCCGGGGGUGAGCUUCCCGUCUCUGAGGGCAGCCAAGGUGUUGUUGCUCAGUGGGGGGUGAUGCAGAGAAGCCACCUGCCACAUGUACGGGGAGGACUAAAUAGUCUCUAAAAUCGCUUCCUGCUCCCAGGUUAGUUUACGUGGGCCACGUUUCACUAAUUCACGUAUUCAUCCACUAGGCUGAUAUUUGCACAGUAACUGCUGGGUGCCGGGGCCCUAAGCUUUAGAAAACAAACCGCCCAUAGGGCAGGCAGCGGGGGCGUGAUUGCACGGGGCUCUAGAGCAGACUUCCUGGGUGUGGAUCCAGCUCCACUUGGUUUAUCUCCCUCCGCCUCGGUUUGCUUAUCUGCAAACUGCGGCUGAGAGCAGAAUCUAUCCAUGAAGUUGUGAAGAUUAGACGAGAUUGAACGAGACGAUACUAAAGUGCUUCCAACCACGGCCGCACAGGCCUCUGCUCCUUGCAUGGGAACAACAGGACAACUUUCCUCCGUUCCGGCCACAUCUGGAAGAAGUGGUCUCUCUCCGUGGCCAGAUGUGGAUGUGCGAGCCCACAGCUCCACGGCCAGCCCUCAGACCAGCCCCACCACCCCCACCAGGCCUUUCAGAACAGAGGCGGAGGGCCGGCCAGUGGUGUUACCUGCCUCCCGCGAUAAGGAGACUCAGGGCAACCAAAGACAGCUCACGGCGCUUCACCCAAGCCUCCGUGAGUCAGCAGCGUCAGGCCACAUCCUUGGUGUUCCGUGAUGUUGCGGGAGCUGUCCCUGUGCAGCAUCAUGGGACGUCACCAGGGAGGGGCCCUGAAGAAAGGACUCUCCAGCGACAAGCUGUGGUCACGGGGCCGUUCAGCCCGAACGGGAAACACUUGGGAACAGCCCAAGUGCCCAACACCAGGAACUGGCCCAGAAAGCACAGCCCAGCUCUGCCCUCCGGGUGACCAGCCUUCUCAUUUUGCCCGGGACUGUUCCUGCUUUAGCACUGAAAUUUCUGCAUCCCAGGAAACCCCACAGUCCCAGCUACCUGUGGCCACACGACCAAGUUCUGGACAGUAGGAUGUGAGUGGCAGUAAAGUCCGCAACUCCUGGAUCACGUCCUUAAAAAGAAGAGGCUCAGCCUCCUCCUCCUGCUUCCCCCCUGCCCGCUGACCGAAGGACAUGGUGGCAGUGGCUACGGACAGGACUCCACCAUUAUUCUGUGUCUGCUACGGCGACCAAAGUCAUAGCCUGCCUUGCGCGGGCUCCGUAAGGGAUCUUCCUUGUGGUUCAUAAUUUUAAAACCAGAAGGUUCCCACAGUCUUCGACCUCCACCCUCACUCCCAUCCACAUACCCAUUUUAUGGGUGGGGAGACCAAGGUUGAGAGAGGCAAAGAGUCUCUAGGGCAGACACAGCACAAAUAAGACUGCAAAGGAGCUCACCGUUCAGGGCGGAGGAGGCUACAGGGGUGGGGACAGUACGGUUCACACUCUCUCAGGGUCCCCUGCAUGGUGGGCAAGGCCUCCCUUCACUGUCAGGGCCCCCCACGAGCCCCAGGUUUGAACCCCAACCCUGCGUUUCUUUUGUUGUCUGUCCCCAACCCGCCAGCCUGCCUCUCUCCAGGCUGAAGACAGGACACUCCCGUGUCCGCAUCUCACGGCUGCUGCGUGACCUCCAGCAAAUCACUGCCCUCUCUGGGCUCCUCUCCAUCUAGACCCAAGGCCUCCCACCGCAGUCUCUGAUUUGAUUUGGUGAUGGUGAGCAGUACUGGUAAUGUUUUAAAGGUGACUACAAGGUCGGGAAUGUGAGUAGGGGCUUUCUUCCCAAGGGGCUGGGGUGUCAGGCACUCAGCACUCCACCCGCCUCAGCCACUGGCUCAGCCUUUCCCCAGAGAUGCAGGGGCCAUGGGGGCGGUGAUCUGGAUGCUGUGUGGACACCCCGAGGGUCAAAGUCUAGGCCGAUCAGCCAGUGGCGGAGAAUAAACCCCUCGGCUGGUCAAACACCUGCAGGCUGCACCUGCCGCUCUGCAAAUACGCCUGCCCUGCCACGGAGCCACAGGAGGCCCAGCCAGGGCCACCCACCCAGCCCUGCCAGGCCUCUGCCGGAGUGAGAGAGGCCUCCUGGGCCCAGGGGCACCACGGUCAGCCCCAGGGAAAGCCACAGCCUGUCACAGAGACAGCCCAGCCCUGAAGCCACGAAGACCAGGGGUCAAGUGUCCCCUUCAUCACCAACUCACAGUGACUUUGGGCAAAUCCCUUUUCAGCUUUGAGCCUCAGCGGGCCUAGUCUUGGCGACUGUGGUAUGUUAUCAGGCAGCACCAUGGCAAGAAGAAAGAAAAACCAAAGAUAAGCUGGGUUUUCCUUUUUUGGAAGCUUGCAGAAGCCACCAGAUAAUG